GACGAACGCUGGCGGCGUGCCUAAUACAUGCAAGUCGAACGCAGUGGGGACGGGUGAGUAACACGUGGGUAACCUCCCAUCAGCAGGGAUAAAACUUGGAAACAGGUGCUAAACCGAUACUGAUGGAUGGACCCGCGGUGCAUUAGCUAGUUGGUGAGGUAACGGCUCACCAAGGCGACGAUGCAUAGACGACCUGAGAGGGUGAUCGGCGACACUGGCACAGAGACACGGCCCAGACGCCUACGGUGGGCAGCAGUAGGGAGUCUUCGGCCAUGAACGAAAGUCUGCCCGGUCAACGCAGCGCGAGUGAAGAAGGUUUUCGGAUCGUAAAACUCUGUUGUUAGAGAAGCGGUAUCUAACCAGAAAGCCACGGCUAACUACGUGCCAGCAGCCGCGGUAAUAC
rnacentral:rRNA from 1 species